rnacentral:lncRNA from 1 species
CAGUGUCUUCUGAUCCCUCCUGUCUCAGCCUCCAGUAUUUAUGCUGCAGUAGUUUAUGUGUCGGGGGGCUAGGGUCAGUCUGUUACAUCUGGAGUAUUUCUCUUGUCUUAUCCGGUGUCCUGUGUGAAUUUAAAUAUGCUCUCUCUAAUUCUCUCUUUCUCUCUUUCUGUCUUUCUCUCGGAGGACCUGAGCCCUAGGACCAUGCCUCAGGACUACCUGGUAUGAUGACUCCUUGCUGUCCCCAGUCCACCUGGCCGUGCUGCUGCUCCAGUUUCAACUGUUCUGCCUGCGGCUAUGGAACCCUGACCUGUUCACCGGACGUGCUUGUUGCACCCUCGACAACUACUAUGAUUAUUAUUAUUUGACCAUGCUGGUCAUUUAUGAACAUUUUAACAUUUUAACAUCUUGACCAUGUUCUGUUAUAAUAUCCACCCUGCACAGCCAGAGGAGGACUGGCCACCCCUCAUAGCCUGGUUCCUCUCUAGGUUUCUUCCUAGGUUUUUGGCCUUUCUAGGGAGUUUUUCCUAUGGAGUUUUUCCUAGCCACCGUGCUUCUUUCACAUGCAUUGCUUGCUGUUUGGGGUUUUAGGCUGGGUUUCUGUGCAGCACUUUGAGAUAUCAGCUGAUGUACGAUGGGCUAUAUAAAUACAUUUGAUUUGAUUUGAUUUUGACCAGGGAUGUUCUCUUGAUAAGUGUGUGAAUUGGACCAUUUUCCUGUUUUCACACCAGAGUGUUUUUUCCCUGUUUCACACCAGAGUUUUUUUCCCUGUUUCACACCAGAGUGUUUUUUCCCUGUUUCACACCGGAGUGUUUUUUACACUGUUUCACACCAGAGUGUUUUCCCUGUUUCACACCAGUGUUUUUCCACUGUUUCACACCAGAGUGUUUUUUCCACUGUUUCACACCAGAGUUUUUUUCCCUGUUUCACACCAGAGUGUUUUCCCCUGUUUCACACCAGAGUGUUUUUUCCACUGUUUCACACCAGUGUUUUUUACACUGUUUCACACCAGUGUUUUUUUCCCUGUUUCACACCAGAGUGUUUUUUACACUGUUUCACACCAGAGUGUUUUUUCCAAUGUUUCACACCAGAGUGUUUUUUCCCUGUUUCACACCAGAAUGUUUUUCCCUGUUUCACACCAGAGUGUUUUUUUCGACUGGCUUGAACAAUGCCACUUUAAAAGUCUCUCAGAUGGUUGGACUGGGGUUCAAAGUGAAUCAGAGAGCCUGAGGAAACCCAGCAGAACACAUAGAACAGGGGUAUUCAGCUUUGGCCCUUCGAGGUCCGUAGCCUGCAGAACAGGGGUAUUCAGCUCUGGCCCUACGAGGUCCGUAGCCUGCAGAACAGGGGUAUUCAGCUCUGGCCCUACGAGGUCUGUAGCCUGCUGCUUUUCUGUUCUACCUGAUCAUUAACAGCACCCGUGUGACCCACCCGCUGUCCCAGGUUUAAAUCAGUGCCUGAGAAUUUAAAAAAUGCUGUGGAAUUGGCUUCAAUGUGCAGAGUAUAGUUGGAGAGGUAUAGAGCCAAUGGAAACCCAUCUGCCACUAGUCAGAGCAGGACCUUUAAUUCAGUUAUUACAGAAAACAGUACAGUGUUUCUAUAUGAAAUGGGACCUCAUGAGAACUCUCCAUACUGGUUGAUGUCAAAUUUCACAUUCUGCAUUUACUACAGUUAAGGUCAAAACUUUAAC